GACGAACGCUGGCGGCGUGCUUAACACAUGCAAGUCGAACGGAAAGGCCCUGCUUUUGUGGGGUGCUCGAGUGGCGAACGGGUGAGUAACACGUGAGUAACCUGCCCUUGACUUUGGGAUAACUUCAGGAAACUGGGGCUAAUACCGGAUAGGAGCUCCUGCUGCAUGGUGGGGGUUGGAAAGUUUCGGCGGUUGGGGCUGGACUCGCGGCUUAUCAGCUUGUUGGUGGGGUAGUGGCUUACCAAGGAUUUGACGGGUAGCCGGCCUGAGAGGGUGACCGGCCACAUUGGGACUGAGAUACGGCCCAGACUCCUACGGGAGGCAGCAGUGGGGAAUAUUGCACAAUGGGCGGAAGCCUGAUGCAGCAACGCCGCGUGCGGGAUGACGGCCUUCGGGUUGUAAACCGCUUUCGCCUGUGACGAAGCGUGAGUGACGGUAAUGGGUAAAGAAGCACCGGCUAACUACGUG
rnacentral:rRNA from 1 species